GGAGACCCUCACUGCCUACAAGGUUCUGUGCGGAAAGUGUGGCAACGGACUAGGCCACGAGUUUGUAAACGAUGGUCCAGAAGAGGGAAGGUCCCGUUUUUGAAUCUUCAGCCACUCGCUGAAGUUUGUCCCAAGGAGAGCUUAAUGAAAGCAGUGGGCGUUACGCUGCCCUGCAAGGGUUGAAACCUGGGUUUGAAUGGAGACAAAGCCAUUCUAAAGCACAUAUCAAGGUGCUCAUUCAUGAG